rnacentral:rRNA from 1 species
UACGGAGGGGGCUAGCGUUGUUCGGAAUUACUGGGCGUAAAGGGCGCGUAGGCGGCCUGUUAAGUCGGACGUGAAAUCCCCGGGCUCAACCCGGGAACUGCGUCCGAUACUGGCUGGCUUGAAUCCGGGAGAGGGAUGCGGAAUUCCAGGUGUAGCGGUGAAAUGCGCAGAUAUCAGGAGGAACACCGGUGGCGAAGGCGGAUCUCUGGGCCAUUACUGACGCUGAGGAGCGAAAGCGUGGGGAGCGAACAGG